rnacentral:ncRNA from 1 species
UAAAGGUCUGGUCCUGACCUUAUUAUCAGCUCUUGCCCAACUUACACAUGCAAGUCUCCGCAAUCCCGUGAGUAUGCCCUUAAUCCCCCGCCCGGACGAGGAGCGGGCAUCAGGCACAAAUUUUUAGCCCAAGACGCCUGGCCAAGCCACACCCCCAAGGAAUUCAGCAGUGAUAAACAUUAAGCCAUAAGUGAAAACUUGACUCAGUUAGGGCUAAGAGGGCCGGUAAAACUCGUGCCAGCCACCGCGGUUAAACGAGAGGCCCUAGUUGAUAACACCACGGCGUAAAGGGUGGUUAAGGAAAGCAAAAUAAUUUUUUAAAGCCAAAUGGCCCUUUGCGGUCAUACGCUUCUAGGUGUCCGAAGCCCAAUCACACGAAAGUAGCUUUAUUAAAGCCCACCUGACCCCACGAAAGCUGAGAAAACAAACUGGGAUUAGAUACCCCACUAUGCUUAGCCAUAAACCUAGACAUCCAACUACAAUUAGACGUCCGCCCGGGGACUACGAGCAUCAGCUUGAAACCCAAAGGACCUGACGGUGCCUUAGACCCCCCUAGAGGAGCCUGUUCUAGAACCGAUAACCCCCGUUAAACCUCACCACUUCUAGCCAUCCCAGCCUAUAUACCGCCGUCGUCAGCUUACCCUGUGAAGGUAAUAAAAGUAAGCAAAAUGGGCACAGCCCAGAACGUCAGGUCGAGGUGUAGCGUACGAAGUGGGAAGAAAUGGGCUACAUUUUCUAUCACAGAACAUUACGAACAUGCAACAUGAAAUAGUGCUUGAAGGAGGAUUUAGUAGUAAAAAGGAAACAGAGUGUCCUUUUGAACCCGGCUCUGAGGCGCGUACACACCGCCCGUCACUCUCCCCUGUCAAAACGCAACAAAAAUACUUAAUACUAAAGCACUGACAAGGGGAGGCAAGUCGUAACAUGGUAAGUGUACCGGAAGGUGCACUUGGA